UCCCCCGCCGCCCCGCGCCGCUGCUGCGCUCCCGGCAGCGCCGCGCGGCCCCGCCCUGCGGCCCGCCCCUUCCUGCGCCCGCCGCCAUCGCCGUGCGGCCGGCGCGCGCGCUUCCUCCCGCAGGGGCGGGGCGGCGCCGCGGGGUCACCGGCGGCGGAAGCGCAUCGGGGUCGCGGCCGGGGCCGGGAUCGCCAUCGGAGUCGCGGUCGCGCCGCUCGGGACGUCUCGGGGCUGCUCCUGGCUGAUAACGGGCGCUGCCUCCGCUGCCGCCCCGUGCGGCCUCAGCGGCCGCUGUCGCCGCGCCCCUGGAGGAAGCGGCUGGAAGAUGAUUCUUAAAAUACUCGAAUUUAAGCUUGCCACCUUUACCUAUCAGUGCAUUCUCAUGCGCUCUUGUAAAAGAAAUUUCUUCAACCCAUUUUUUGUUUCCUGGUUACCUUCUUGGCCCGUGUUUUUCAUAUGUCAGUGUUACAGUCACAACUGUCCAAUGUGCUGAGGCAAGGAAGAUUCAGAUUAGAUAUUAGAAAACAUAUUUUUCACUGUUUGGGUGGUCAGGCAUUGCAGUGGGUUGCCCAGCAAAGUGAUGGAGCUACUGUCCCUGGAAUUGUUUGAGGCAACUGGACCUGGUGCUGUGUGAUACAAUUUAACCUGUAGCCCCUGCUAUAUAUGUUUACAAACUGGUUAUGACUAAAAUUGCUUUUGCAUUCUCUUUUAGGACAUUCUAACUAUUAAAUAUUUUUGACAUAUUUUUAAUACAAGACGUCUCAGCAAGUUUCCUAAUGUCUUCUAAAUAAAGUAGACAGCAGAUGUAGUUCCAGAUGCAGUUCCUAAACCUCAAGCAGUAUUUGAAUUGCUGAGGAAAUACUAAUAUAUGAGACAGGCAGAAAUGAGAUGUAUAUGAUAUUGUGGGAACAAAUUGUUACAUGGCUGCAGGCUGGAGAAGUACAUGAAAGUACAAGUCACAAGUAUCAGGGAAGGUGUUUGUGGCUCAGAAUGCCUGCUCUGUGGGCACUGGGGACUGGGAAGGUACUUUUUUCUCUUUCUAGCUCUAGGCUUCCUUUUUGUCCCUGAAUAUGAGAACAACUCUGAGGCUGGGCAGAUCCAUUUUGGCCAUUGCUGUCACGUCAGCAAGCCGCUCAACUUGUGAUUUCAAAUUGACAUAUUUUUAUCUCAGAUUUUGUCUCAUUUUUGUCUAACUAGGGGCACAAAUGUCAUGAUUUUCACCUGAAGCAGAAAUAGGAAUAAAGUACUGUGAUGAAUUUUGAAAUACUUUUACUUGUAGUAGCAUAAGUAAACAUAAAGCACUGGCAAUAGCUCACUUUUACUUUUUUAGACAAUGAUGCAGAAAUCUUAUUCUAUGCAUGCCUACCACAGGCAUCAAAUUCAGAGUGGCCAACGUGCCCAACUGAUUCUAUCAGUGUUCAUAGACUUAAACUCUCUUGAGGUCAGUUCAUACCAUAAUUGUUAAAAAUUAUGACUGAACUUGACAGGUUUGUUGAUAUUUUCUGGUUUUUUUUUUUUUUUUUUUUGUUUUUUUUUUUUGUGGGUUUUUUUUUUUUUUUUUGUCAGUGAAGCACUUUGUGUAGUUUUUUCCUCAAAAACUUUGUUCAUGCUGUGUAUGCUGGUAAUGAAUCUAAAUUUAUGAAGUAUGUAAAAUCCAGGUGACAGCUGGAUUAAGAAAGUAAAAAAAGAAGGUAAAAGUCCUUCACUUUGCAUGGAUUAAUCUGAACAAAUUUGGUAGUGAUAGGAGAUGCCCUUCUUCUGUGAUGAACGCUGUUGCAAAAUUCUGUGCUGUGCGAAGAUAAAGUACUGCUGUUGGUACUGAGCAUACAAAGGUGCUGUUCCUCUUUAACCACUGCAGUCUUUUACAGACAGGGGUACACAGAAAGGGGAGCUCUUUAGUAACAUUUUGAGUUUUGUAGUAAAAAUAAAGACUUUUCAACAGGAAUAACUGAAAUGCCUGAGCAGAUUCUUGGGUAGUAAAAGCUCUAAAGCUGCCCAACACCAACAAGAGAUCUGUCCUGCAUGAAUUGCUCACUUCUUCCUCUGCAUAUGUAGUAACAUGUCUGUGGCUUGCACCAUCUGUGUUACCAUCCAUUCUCUGAGGUUUAUUAUCUUUUAUUGUGUGGCUUAUUGCUAUGUUGUUUAUUAUGGCACAAUAAACCCUAGAACUGGGUGGUGAAUUGAUUUGUUGUAUGAAUGUGCAUUGCCUGAUGCAUAUUUAAUUUUUGCUUCUCCCUGUGCAUAAACAGUAUACUUUUAUGAUUGUCUCUAGUUAGAGAAAGCCUCAGAUUUUCUGGUGCUUGCUGUUACAGGAUUUUUCUAAUAAAAAGCAAAAUUAUGCCUAGGAGCGGCACUAGUAAUCAUAAUCUAGUCCGCUGUAUUUUGGAGCAGCAGAGAAACGGUGCCAGCAUUGCUGAGGUUUUAUGCUUCAUCAAUAACAGCAUAUGUGGCUUUAGCUAAGCUGCAGCGUGAAAUGCUGUAGUUGCAGGACUGAAAUGUAGCCAAGGCACGGACUGUACCUUCAGCUGUGAUGUGACUGGAAUGAUGUCCAUAUCCUUCCAUGGGAAUAGUUGCAGUACAUAAAAUGUUAUUGGACUACCAUAAAUGGAGGAUAUGAUUCUGUAAUCGUUUUUUUAGGGGCAGAGAGGAAGGACUGUGUUGCCCACUUGAAGCUGACACCACUGUAAAUCCAGAUGGAGUGUCUGAAUGGGAGCUGAGAUUUACUGCCUACCCAGAGGAGUACCCCCAAACUAUUGCACUUCAAGGACAGCCCUUGGGACUUGUUCUGAAGAAUGUGGAAAAUGUGAGGGAAAAAAUCUUCAGUGAAACAGCAGAAAUAAAAAAAAAAUUUUUUGCUCAAAAUCUUUCCUCACCUAUUGAUUUGCACAAAGAUGAUACGACUUUAAUGUCUUUAAGAUUUGUGAUUUUGCCAAGUUUCAUUAAAAUUGGCCAACCGUUUCAAAAGUUAUGGGGCAGGGGUUGGAGAACAACUGACAAAUAGUGAAAUAAUUGUUUCCUGGGGACAAAAAAUAAUUGAAGCCUGGAUCGACUAUGAUAUAUUGUGUGUGGAGAUAACCAGCUCUGAAUCUAUUCAGAGACCAGCUGCUUUCUGAAUAGGAACUGAUAUAGGAGUCAGACAAGGGGAAACAAUCCCAGACUCACGCUGGGGAGUGUGAGAAAUGCAAGGUUUCCUAUUUAAUUUGUUUAACCAGAGGAGAAUGGAAAGUCAAGAAAAAGUAUUAACAGUAUUACCAAUGCUAAGCCCCAACAUUCACGCAUCCCAAUUUUGAUUGUACACUAGGAAGAGAGAAUUUUUAAAAUUUAUUCUCCUGAAUGUCUUGGGAUUUUAGCUUUUAUUUGCUCUUAGCAAGGUUUUAAACCUUCCUGAAAUGGAGAAGUGUUAUGUUCGCUUCAGCAAUGGGAUUAGUUAAAAUACAUUUUUGCUCAGUAAAAAGGAGCUAGUGAGGCUGUAAAGGAAGAAGGCAACUUUGCAAGAGCCUUUUUUCCUGUUUUAUGGACAUGCUGGCUGGAAGGAGGAUGGGUGGCUGAAAUAGCUCUGCUGUCACAGUGAUGCUGGACCCAGCCAGCUUGGCUGUAGCCCCUUCUGAGAGGAGAGGGCAGAACUGCUCUGUGUGCAGCCUUUUCUGUGCCUUGGGUAUCACAAACAGGUGAUAUAUAUACUACUUUAUAUACUUUGUCCUGUUGUCUUUAUUGCCAUGUGUUGGUGAUCAUCACCUGACUGGCUUUGUUAAUGUCAUAGAACUUGUUUAAUAAAAGGAAUUCUUAAGAG